rnacentral:piRNA from 1 species
UCUUAAUUUAAAAUAAGAAAA